UUUAAAUAGCUGCAGUAUUUUAACUGUACUAAGGUAGCAUAAUAAUUAGUCUUUUAAUUGGGGUCUAGAAUGAAAGGUUUAACAAAGCAAAAACUUUCUUGAUUUAAUUAAAUUUAAUUUAAUUUUUUGGUUAAAAAGCUAAAAUUUUUAAAUGGGACGAUAAGACCCUAUAAAUCUUUAAUUUUUUUUAAAAUUUAAAUUUAUUGGGUUUUAAAAUAUUAAUAUUUUAAAAAAAUUUUUGUUGGGGUGACAUUAAAAUUUUUUAAUCUUUUAUUUAUUUUAACAUUAAUAAAUGAUUUUUUUGAUCUUAAAUUUUAGAUUAAAAAAUUAAGAUACUUUAGGGAUAACAGCGUAAUAGAUUUGAAUAGUUCAUAUUGAUAAAUUUGUUUACGACCUCGAUGUUGAAUUAAUUUAAAAUUUUAAAGUAGAAAUUAAAAAUUUGGGUCUGUUCGACCUUUAAUUAUUUACA
rnacentral:rRNA from 1 species